rnacentral:tRNA from 1 species
GCGCUGGUGGUGUAAAGGCGUAAGCAUUCCCACCUCGGUUAGAGGGAAGUGCGGGUUCGAGUCCCGCCUGGCGCU